UCCGCUCUCUUAAUGUCUGUAGUAGAUUCUGAUAUGGAAGAGCAGCUUAGAGUUUUGGCUGAGCGUGUACAACAGCUACAAGCUGAUAAUGAACGUUUGCGCUCCAAUGUAGGGGCUAGUGCUAGUGCUAGUGAUAAUGCUACUGAAGGGAGUGUUAAUCUUUCAGAGACAUGUGGGGUAACUGAACGAUAUGUAUAUAUGCCUAGAGAGAGAAAAUGCCCUAGAUUUUCAGGGAAACCUACUGAUGUGUUAACAGUGGAGGACUGGGUUGAAGAGGUCCAUCGGUCCUUGGAGAGCCGUCACAUGUCUCAAAUCGAGCAAGCGUUGUUCAUAUAUGAUCAAUUGGACGGUGAGGCUAAAAAUGAAAUCAAAUUCCGCCCCAUUAGUGAAAGAAAUGACCCGAAGAAAAUUUUAGAUAUUUUAAAAGAAAUUUAUGGAUGUUCUCAAUCCUAUAUAGGCCUUCAGAAACAAUUUUUUCAGCGUAGACAACUAGACGGGGAAUCUUUACGUGAGUAUUCCCACGUUUUGCUGUCCCUUAUGGAAGCAAUCAAACGUAGAAGCCCCCGGUUGAUUUCAAAUGCAGACCAUCUGGUGCGUGAUCAAUUUAUUGAACACGUAAGAGAUGGUAUGCUUCGAAGGGAACUUAAGCGAUCAGUGAGACUUGACCCUAAUGUUUCUUUUUUGACUAUUCGCAGCGAAGCCAUCCGAUGGGUGGAAGAAGGCGAGCAUGUGGGCAAUCCAAGGGCCAGGGCGUAUUCUUGUGACACUCAGGUUGAAGUCAUGGGUGAGUGUAACAUGGAAAGCCAGACUGUAACACCUAAAGCUAAUACGGAACUAUCUGAAUUAAAGGAGUGCCUGAGAAAGCAGCAAGCACAGUUAGACAUGCUGAUGAACCAUCUUUCCUUGACUAGCACCCACCCUCCGCCUCAUAGGGAACCUAUGGCUAAUGCAGCUGGACAGUUUCGUUACGAUCCUACAGGGAAGCCUAUUUGUUUGCGGUGCAACCAGGUAGGACACAUUGCAAGGUUUUGUAGGGCAGGAAGGGGACCAGGUAUGGUGCCUAGAGGGGGGGACAGUCGCUCCAGUCCUAGGACGGGUGUGGUGGCCAGCAUUUCAGAGCCGCAGGGAAACUAGAACCCUCUGGUGGCGAGAGCCAAACAUCAGGUCAGGGUAAAGUGGGCUCAAGGUUAACUUCUGGGGAUGGGUCAAAGCUUAUGGGGGAGUGCCCGGUAGUAGAAGUAGUGAUGGGAGGGGUUCCGGUGUCUUGUCUGUUAGACACAGGCUCCAUGGUAACCACCGUGACAGAAAAAUUAUUUGAUGAACAUUUACAGUCUCUAUCAGGCCAACUUCAAGAGUGUCGCUGGCUUCAACUCAGAGCAGCUAAUGGGUUGGAAGUUCCUUAUUUGGGUUAUCUAGAGGUUGACAUUCAAGUCUUGGGUAGAACUUUACCAGGGAUGGGUGUCUUGGUAGUAAGGGAUCCUAGUGAUCCCCAUACUAGAGUCCAAAAGUCCAAGGUUCCAGGUUUACUAGGCAUGAAUGUGAUUAGCCCAUGUUACAGCGAAAUAUUCCAGCAGCAUGGUUCUUCCUUGUUCCAGACCACUCUUUUGCAGUCAAAAAGGAAUGCCUGGAGACAGGUGUUUGCCGAAUGCCAAAAAUUAGAGUGUUUGCCAGCAACCGGGUAUCUAGGACCAGCUAAGGUGGCCGGGCGUACAGCAGUGCGUGUCCCUGCAGGAUCAGUGAAGUUGGUGGAGGCCAUAGGAAACCAGCAUUUGGGGCCAUCACUGCAGUCUGUGCUCCUUGAACCGGGCAAUGGAAGGCUCCCUCCAGUGAGAGCUUCACCUGGAGGGUGGGCAGGAGCUGAAGGAAUACUCUUAAUUGGGCAAAUACUGCUGUUGCACAGGUAAAUAUUGAAGUUAAAAUAAGCUAAUACUGAUUUUUAAGAAAAACUCAAAGGAAUAAUUGGGUACUUGUGUCUAUGUGUGCCUUACAGGAUGGCGCAUGCCUGUGAUAGUAGCCACUGUUCUACAUACUGUUUUUAGAAUGUUUUAUUAUAUAGUUUAAUUCUAGUGUUAUACUCCCUGCUGUAGUCUCAACCUUGUGGGAGACCCAGUCCUAGUCCUAACUAGAAUUUGGUUGAUAUAACCCAAAAUACCGAUUUAACCUACUGCUGAUAUUAGUGGGGUGCCUGAAUCAACCCAAGUUACUAAUUCAAUAAUGGUUAGGUUUCCUUUUUUUUAUGGAGUAUAACCUCAGUAAGCUCUGAGUAAUUAGGAUUCACCUCAGUAUUGUAUUUGGUUUUCAAUUCUGGAUGUAUGGGUUUAAUGAGUGUGUAUAUUUAUUUUUCUAAGUUUGGGAUUUGCUUUGUGUAGGUUGUGAUUUUUUUUCUUUUUUUUUUUUUUUGUUAUUUUCAUCGCAGUAUAUUUAUAUGCAUGUGAGUGUAGUGUGAGGUGAUACAGCCGUACUGAGUGUGAGCCCUUGGUUGCUCGAGAUUAAAGUGGGUACAUUCCUCUUUCUUGGGGAACCACCAUUUGAUACUUGAAUAAUUUUAUUGUCUUGGAACAUUUUUUAGCUACCCUAAUAAAAUUAUCUACGUUUUAUUUUAUAAUCUAAAUACUGAAUGAGUAAAAUUGUGUUUAUAGAAUUGUGUAUGGUUGUUUACCCCGUUGUGGGUUGAGAGUGUACUCUGACAUUUAAAAACAAGAAAAUAAAGAUUCCUUGUUUGCAUCAGA